rnacentral:lncRNA from 1 species
GAGCUUCAGUUGGGGAAAUGCCUCCAUGAGAUCUAGCUGAAAGGCAUUUUCUCAAUUAGUGAUCAAGGGAGAAGGGCCCCUUGUAGGUAGUGCCAUCUCUGGGCUGGUUGUCUUGGUUCUAUAAGAGAGCAGGCUGAGCAAGCCAGGGGAAGCAAGCCACAUGCACUCACUGGUAAGUGGAUAUUAGCCCAGAAACAUAGAAUACCCAAGAUACAAUUUCCAAAACACAAGAAAAUCAAGAAGAAGGAAGACCAACAUGUGGCUACUUCAUUCCUCCCUAGAAUAGGGAAUAAAAUAUCCAUGGAAGGAGUUGCAGAGACAAAGUUUAGAGCUAAGACAAAAGAAUGGACCAUCUAGAGCCUACCCCACCCAGGGGUCCAUCCCAUAAUCAGCCACCAAACGCAGACACUAUUGCAUAUGCCAGCAAGAUUUUGCUGAAAGGACCCUGAUAUAGCUGUCUCCUGUGAGGCUUUGCCAGUGCCUGGCAAAUACAGAAGUGGAGGCUCACAGUCAUCUAUAGGAUGCAACACAGGGCCCCCAAUGGAGGAGCUAGAGGAAGUACCUAUGUAGCUGAAGGAGUCUGCAACCCUAUAGGUGGAACAACAGUGAACUAAUCAGUUCCCCCAGAGCUCGUGUCUCUAGCUGCAUAUGUAGCAGAAGAUGGCCUAGUCGGCCAUCAUUGGGAAUACAGGCCCCUUAAUCUAGCAAAUUUUAUAUGCCCCAGUACAGGAGAAUGCCAGGGCCAAGAAGUGGGAGUGAGUGGGUAGGGGAGCAGCAUGGGGGGAUAGUAUAGGGGACUUUUGGGAUAGCAUUUGAAAUGUAAACGAAGAAAAUAUCUAAUAAAAUUUUUUUAAAGUUGUUUCUUUAAAAACAAAACAAAACAAACAAACAAACAAACAAACAAACACCCCAUCCCUCCAUGGCCUCUGCAUCAGCUCCUGUGACUUCCUUGGUGAUGAACAGCUGUAUGGAAGUAUAAACUGAAUAAACCCUUUCCUUCCCAACUUGCUUCUUGGUCAUGAUGUUUUGUCCAGGAAUAGAAACACGAACUAAGACACCACGACAUCCAUGCUUUACACACUAAAAGUUGAUUUCUCAUUCAAAUAUCAGACCAUAGUUAGCAUGUUCACAUAUGUGACAUUUCCCAUGACCACACAUAGUACCUAGACUUGAGCAUCCUGUUUCUUCACAUCUGCGGGUUUAUGUGUGUGUGUGUGUGUGUGUGUGUGUGUGUGUGUGUGUGUGUGUGUGUGAGACCCUUGGGUUGGACAAUGUCUUAGGACAUCAGGCAUUAAAUCUUCCAAGCUUGGGGCAUUUCACCUCUGUCCUCAAUAUAUUCAUUAGGAAUUUCUUAGAACAUAACUACAUUUGAACAAUCAUUAGAACAUAAACACAUGGGAAUCUGGGAAAUGGAGCAUAGCUAUGUGCCCAAGAUGAGGAAAUAAUGAAUAUGUAAUCUUAUAUAUAUUAAUGUAAAAAUUACUAAUUUGUAUUUAUUUAGAAAAUUAAAUCAGGUUGAAGAUUAUGACCUGUUCUGUGAUAGUGUGAUCUUGGUGCUGUGUUUGAUAGAAUUUUUUUCAGUUAGUUAGGAAAUUAAAGUCAUUUAACUAAUGGAAAAGUUCAAGCAUAACUAUAUAUUGUCAGCAGACACAAAGAGUAUGCUAAUCCUUUUCCUUAGUUUUCCCAUAUACAAUGCAACCAGAACAAAACUGAAGUGUUCCUUUUGUUCCCUUCUAUUUUAUACACAGUUUUAGUCAUUCUAUUAUGCAUAAUUCUUUGUAACAAUAAUAAAAGAAUUGACUUAUAGCACAUAGAAGAGACAGAAUGAAUAUUUCAUAGAAAAUGUAUACAAGCUGUGAGAGAAUAGUUAUACACAACCAUCUUUGUAAAUAGUUCUAAGCAUGUAAAUGUUGACAUUUCAUUAAUCUGUCAUUAGAAAACUUAUGUUUCGAAUCCAUUUUCUGAACAGAAUUCUGGGAUACCUUAAAAGUUCCCUAGAAAUUAAUCUAUUGUUACUUAAAAGUAUUGUGAUAAGGUUUUAUUUUACACAAUUUUAAAAAUACUACUGACUCUACUAUAGUUACAUGUUGAAUAAUAUUAAAAAUAGGGCUUUUAUUUGGAAUAAUUAAAUAGCCAAGAAAAUAGUCAUUUUUCACAAGGAAGGAUUCAUCAUUUCUUUCAGAAAUUCUAUAUUACUUCCAAAAAUAGAAGCUUUUUGUGACUUUCUGGUCUCUACCAGUGUCACAUUGUUGAGUUGUAGAAUAAGUAAGGUUUCGCUAUAGCAGAUAAUGAAAUACCCACAUAUAUCCUUAAAAGUUAGCUUUGAUACCUCGUUGAUUUUCUAAGUUUCCUAGUUUUUAUAUGUAGUUGAUUUUCUACGGUACAAUAUAUAAUUUAAAAAGUAGAUACUGCCAUCUAUUCCUCGUGAAAAAACUUUCAAAGAUCCUGAAAACUAGAUGCAACAAAUAAUAUAAACAUUAUAGUUUUAGAGAAUUGGAACUUUAAGUUUAGAAUGCAAGACAAUUGAAAUGAGUUUCUAGAACUCCCUAGAAGUACAGUAAGACUCUGAACCAUAAAAAAUUUAUUCCUACACCCCAUCAAACUUAAACUAAACACAUAAACUAAACUAAAUAUAUUGAUUCCUCUGCCUGCCCAAUUCCCUUUGUGACAGCCUGCCUCUAAUACCAAGAGUAACUCUCUACCUGAGAACCCACUGAUCACACCAGUCUCAUCAUCAGACCCUGUAGCAGAUUGCUUUCAGGAUCCUCCCCACCAUCUCUGCCUCCAGUCACUGGACACUCCACAGAUCCUUGUAGCAGAUGGAGCUUUUACCCAACCUGUGGAGCUCUCCGUCCUCCCUUCUAGCCCAUCCUCAUUCCUUCCAGACAGCUCCCAAUGCUACCCAGAAACCGCAUCUGAGAUAGACAGACUCAAGAGCACUCCUGAUCAGGCAACCCACAACCACCACACUUUCUGAGAGAUACAGAGAUGUCAACAUAAAGCAAGGGAUGGAACACCCAAACAAUGAAGACAGUAGCAGAUAUCAACACCUAGAGUCACAAUCACCCAAUAUCCUUAGACAUCGGUGCAAAAACCCAUCCAUUAACACCAAAUGCCUCCACCCGAACCCAGCAGCCUUACUACAGUAUGCCCUGAGAAAUGCAAUAAAACUGAAGCACAAGGCAGAGACUUUGAAAUUAUACUAGGAGUAUGUUCAAGGAGUUUAAACUGGUUAUGAAAAAAAUCCAUUAUGAAGUCUAUGAAAACAGAAAUGAGCAAGCAAACAAACUAGGUAUAUGCCACCAAGAAAAGAGGUCAAGACCUGAAAAUGGAAAUAGAAUCAGGAAAGAAAGCCAGUCUGGACUAAAACUGGAAUUGAAAAAUGUAGGAAGUCAAACAGAAACCUCAGAGAGAAGCCUCACCAGAAGAACACAAGAUAUAGGAGAGAGCAUCUCAGGCAUUGAAGACACGGUAGAAGAAAUAGAAACCCUGGUCAAAGAUAAUGAUAAAUCAAAAACAAACAAAAAACAGAAAACAAACAAAAUAAACACGUAAAAAACCACAAUAUCCAGGAAAUAAAAGUCACCCUGGAAAUACCAAAUCUGUGAAUAAUAGGAAUGGAGGAAGGGAAAGAAACCAAGAUCAAGGUCACAGAAAAUAUUUUUCUAUCAAAGUCAUGAAAAAAUUUUCUACCUUUCAGAAGGAGGUGCCCAUAAAGUUAUAAGAAGCAUACAGACUAUCAAAUGAACUGGAAUAGGAAAAAAAUCCUCUUGAUGCACAACAAUCAAAACACUAAAUAGGGAACAAAGAAAAAAUGUGAAAAGAUGCAAGGAAAAUGGCCAAUGACAUAUAAAGGCAAUAUAACACCUGAGUUCACAAUUGAGACUCUAAAAGCCAGAAGGGAUGGAUCAAUAUCCUACAGACUCUUAAGAGACUACACAGAUGACAGACUAGACUACUCUAUCCAGGAAAAGUUUCAGAAUAGACUGAGUGGCAAAAUAAAAUUUAAGAAAUAUCUAUUUAUUAAUCCAACUCUAUUGAUGGAAAACCCCAACCUGAAGAGGUUAUCCCUACUGAAGAAUACGCAGUGAAUAAAUAAUUUCAGACCGUUGAUUUAGAGGAAGGGACACACAGCAUAAUAACAAAAUAACAGGAAUCAAUUAGCACCGCUCAUUGAUAACUUCUAAUAUCAAUGCUUCGAAUGAAAGGACAAACAAAUACAAGGAUGUGAGAACAAGACCCAUGUUUCUACUGUGCCUAAGAAACACAUUUUAACAUUAAGGGUAGACACUUCUUUAUUGUAGAAAUAUGGCAAAGGGUAUUCUAAGCAAAUGACACAAGAAGAAAGCUAGUGAAGACAUUUUAAUAUCUGACAAAUUAGACCUCAAAACAAAACUAAUCAGAAGAGAUGAAAGACGCUACAUACACAUCAAGGGCAAAUUCACCCAUAGGACAAUGCAAUUCUUAACAUUUAUGCAUUAAACAGAAGGACACCCAAAUUCAUAAAAAAGCAAAACUAUAGUCUAAAACUAUAAACUAAAAUUACAUGUUUAACCCUAUAGUGAAAGUGGGAGACAUCAAUACCUCACUCCUUCCAAUGCCCAACACUGUUUAGGUGGCGAAGGAUCUACAACCAGAUAGGUCAUGGACAUAAGGUAAAACCAAAUACUGUUCUACUAAAGGAAUUUAGCAAUAAAAUAACCUCUACCAAUAUUCUGCAGAACUUGUAGAUCAGUAUCUUGCUCUGCUAUCUAAGAAAUUUCCUCCUGCAGUAGAUAGGAAUGAAUACUGAGACAACAUGCAAGAACACCUGGUCCUAAAUGGGAUGUCUCUAUCAAGUUACUUUCUCC